UGGUAGUGUAUUGGACUACCAUGGCGCUCACGGGUAACGGAGAAUUAGGGUUCGAUUCCGGAGAAGGAGCCUGAGAAACGGCUACUACACCUACGGGUAGGCAGCAGGGGCGUAAAUUACCCAAUCCUAAUUCAGGGAGGUAGUGACAAGAAAUAGCAAGUCGGGAAGUUUUACUUCUACGGCAUUGAAAUGAGAACAGUGUAAAUCUCUUAACGAGGAACAAUUGGAGGGCAAGUUCAGGUGCCAGCAGCCGCGGUAAUUCCUGCUCCAAUAGCGUAUAUUAAAGUUGUUGCAGUUAAAAAGCUCGUAGUUGAACUUCUGUCCGCGUUUGUCUCCACUCGUGGAACAAAAGCGGACAUACGUCUGCAAACUAAAAUCGGCCUUCACUGGUUCGACUUAGGGAGUAGACAUUUUACUGUGAAAAAAUUAGAGUGUUCCAGGCAGGUUUUUGCCCGAAUACAUUAGCAUGGAAUAAUGGAAUAGGACUAAGUCCAUUUUAUUGGUUCUUGGAUUUAGUAAUGAUUAAUAGGGACAGUUGGGGGCAUUAGUAUUUAAUAGUCAGAGGUGAAAUUCUUGGAUUUAUUAAGGACUAACUAAUGCGAAAGCAUUUGCCAAAGAUGUUUUCAUUAAUCAAGAACGAAAGUUAGGGGAUCAAAGACGAUCAGA
rnacentral:rRNA from 1 species